AGAGUUUGAUCAUGGCUCAGAGCGAACGCUGGCGGCAGGCUUAACACAUGCAAGUCGAGCGGGCGUAGCAAUACGUCAGCGGCAGACGGGUGAGUAACGCGUGGGAACGUACCUUUUGGUUCGGAACAACCCAGGGAAACUUGGGCUAAUACCGGAUAAGCCCUUACGGGGAAAGAUUUAUCGCCGAAAGAUCGGCCCGCGUCUGAUUAGCUAGUUGGUGAGGUAACGGCUCACCAAGGCGACGAUCAGUAGCUGGUCUGAGAGGAUGAUCAGCCACAUUGGGACUGAGACACGGCCCAAACUCCUACGGGAGGCAGCAGUGGGGAAUAUUGGACAAUGGGCGCAAGCCUGAUCCAGCCAUGCCGCGUGAGUGAUGAAGGCCCUAGGGUUGUAAAGCUCUUUUGUGCGGGAAGAUAAUGACGGUACCGCAAGAAUAAGCCCCGGCUAACUUCGUGCCAGCAGCCGCGGUAAUACGAAGGGGGCUAGCGUUGCUCGGAAUCACUGGGCGUAAAGGGUGCGUAGGCGGGUCUUUAAGUCAGGGGUGAAAUCCUAGAGCUCAACUCCAGAACUGCCUUUGAUACUGAAGAUCUUGAGUUCGGGAGAGGUGAGUGGAACUGCGAGUGUAGAGGUGAAAUUCGUAGAUAUUCGCAAGAACACCAGUGGCGAAGGCGGCUCACUGGCCCGAUACUGACGCUGAGGCACGAAAGCGUGGGGAGCAAACAGGAUUAGAUACCCUGGUAGUCCACGCCGUAAACGAUGAAUGCCAGCCGUUAGUGGGUUUACUCACUAGUGGCGCAGCUAACGCUUUAAGCAUUCCGCCUGGGGAGUACGGUCGCAAGAUUAAAACUCAAAGGAAUUGACGGGGGUCGCACAAGCGGUGAGCAUGUGGUUUAAUUCGACGCACGCGCAGACCUUACCAGCCCUUGACAUCCCGGUCGCGGAAUCCAGAGACGGAGUUCUUCAGUUCGGCUGGACCGGAUCUGGUGCUG
rnacentral:rRNA from 1 species